rnacentral:rRNA from 1 species
UACGUAGGGGGCAAGCGUUGUCCGGAUUUAUUGGGCGUAAAGAGCGUGUAGGCGGUCAGGUAGGUCCGUUGUGAAAACUCGAGGCUCAACCUCGAGACGCCGAUGGAAACCAUCUGACUAGAGUCCGGAAGAGGAGAGUGGAAUUCCUGGUGUAGCGGUGAAAUGCGCAGAUAUCAGGAAGAACACCAAUGGCGAAGGCAGCACUCUGGGACGUGACUGACGCUGAGACGCGAAAGCGUGGGGAGCAAACAGG